rnacentral:rRNA from 1 species
CAGUCGCCACGGGAAUACGGAGGGUGCGAGCGUUACUCGGAAUCACUGGGCGUAAAGGACGCGUAGGCGGAUUAUCAAGUCUCUUGUGAAAUCUAACGGCUUAACCGUUAAACUGCUUGGGAAACUGAUAAUCUAGAGUAAGGGAGAGGCAGAUGGAAUUCUUGGUGUAGGGGUAAAAUCCGUAGAUAUCAAGAAGAAUACCUAUUGCGAAGGCGAUCUGCUGGAACUUAACUGACGCUAAUGCGUGAAAGCGUGGGGAGCAAACAGGAUUAGAUACCCCCGUAGUCCCUGUCUCUUAUAC